UAUUAAAAUUUCAUCUAUUUUUACGGUUAAAAAUUGAUGUGGUUGACGAAAUAACUAGACAAUUACACGUGAUGUGUCACAUAUACCUCAUGUUAAUAUACAAGAUUGGUUUUAAAUAGUAUAAAUGAACAAAAUUUUUAAUG
rfam:Gossypium raimondii Chr09_contig_20, whole genome shotgun sequence.